AACCUUGUUGCUAGGGACCGGGCGGUUUGCGGCAACCGUGGGCACUGCUGAAUUUGAAUUGAGGGGCGAGGGAAAAGUUUUCCUCAGGUGUGGUGGGGAGAGGGAGGCGGAUGCCGGGAAACCGUAGGGACGCGGUCAGAAAGGCGACGGGCUGUCGGAGUUGGAAAGGUAAAGUUGGAGGCUCGGCGGCGUCCUGCCUCCGCGCUGGCCACACCCGCCGCGGCUGCCCGGGGCAGGGAGGGAUCUGGCUGAUUCUCCCUGUACCCUGUGCCCUCGGAGCUGCCCCUCCGAGCGCCCAGAGGUCCCCGCCUGCCUGCUUCCUGGAGGCAGGGCUACCAUCAGUCCCACGCCUCGCGUGUCCGCCCCCCGCACCCCGGGGCCAAGGAAAGGGAUCGCGGUCUGGACUCCCCGGGGAGUUCCCUUGAUGAGGGGAAGGGCAGGUUUGGGGACGGCGAGGACACGCGGCGACCGGAGAGAGGCUACCUGACCCGCGCAGCCCGGACUCCCUUCCCUUCCCUUCCAGGGACGCCUGGUUUCCCCCCAAGCGAACCGGGAUGGGAAGUGACUUCAAUGAGAUUGAACUUCAGCUGGAUUGAAAGAGAGGCUAGAAGUUCCGCUUGCCAGCAGCCUCCUUAGUAGAGCGGAAUGAGUAAUACCCACACGGUGCUUGUCUCACUUCCCCAUCCGCACCCGGCCCUCACCUGCUGUCACCUCGGCCUCCCACACCCGGUCCGCGCUCCCCGCCCUCUUCCUCGCGUAGAACCGUGGGAUCCUAGGUGGCAGGACUCAGAGCUAAGGUAUCCACAGGCCAUGAAUUCCUUCCUAAAUGAGCGGUCAUCGCCGUGCAGGACCUUAAGGCAAGAAGCAUCGGCUGACAGAUGUGAUCUCUGAACCUGAUAGAUUGCUGAUUUUAUCUUAUUUUAUCCUUGACUUGGUACAAGUUUUGGGAUUUCUGAAAAGACCAUACAGAUAACCACAAAUAUCAAGAAAGUCGUCUUCAGUAUUAAGUAGAAUUUAGAUUUAGGUUUCCUUCCUGCUUCCCACCUCCUUCGAAUAAGGAAACGUCUUUGGGACCAACUUUAUGGAAUAAAUAAGCUGAGCUGUAUUUCAAGUAAUAUAGUUAUAAAUUAACAAUGUAGCAGUUAUUGAUAGAGAAAUUGAGAAAACUGAAACGUGACCGGAGUAUUGGAAAUAACGUAGUACAUCACCUAGCACAAUGACACAUAGUAGGUGCUCAAUAAAUUUAUGCUUAUAAUUUUUGUCACUUCUAUGGCAGGAUUUUUUUAUUAGGUUAAAAUUAUCUUUUAAACACCUUCCGGAAUUUUAGAAUAUUCAUUAAUAAUGUCUUCAAACCUUUCAACUGAAAUAAAUUUACAGCUGAAGUCUGAUGAUUUA
rnacentral:lncRNA from 1 species